rnacentral:lncRNA from 1 species
UAGGAGCUUGGGGAGUGGAUGUAGGUGCAAGGUUGGCACCAAACCACUAUAAAUCUUUGUGUUUGUGGUGUGCUUUAUUGUUUCUCUUUAUUUCUUUAUUAUAUCCUUGCAUUCUUGCUUUAGGAAAUUAAUCUUGAUUUAAAGUCUUUGUUCUCAUUCAUCAUAAGUAAUUAAUUAAGCCUAAAAUUUUUAGAAACCCAAUUCACCCCCCC